GACGAACGCUGGCGGCGUGCCUAAUACAUGCAAGUCGAGCGAAGUUUUUCUGGUGCUUGCACUAGAAAAACUUAGCGGCGAACGGGUGAGUAACACGUAAAGAACCUGCCUCAUAGACUGGGACAACUAUUGGAAACGAUAGCUAAUACCGGAUAACAGCAUUAACUGCAUGGUUGAUGUUUAAAAGUUGGUUUUGCUAACACUAUGAGAUGGCUUUGCGGUGCAUUAGCUAGUUGGUGGGGUAAAGGCCUACCAAGGCGACGAUGCAUAGCCGACCUGAGAGGGUGAUCGGCCACACUGGGACUGAGACACGGCCCAGACUCCUACGGGAGGCAGCAGUAGGGAAUCUUCCGCAAUGGGCGAAAGCCUGACGGAGCAACGCCGCGUGAGUGAAGAAGGAUUUCGGUUCGUAAAGCUCUGUUGUUAGGGAAGAAUGAUUGUGUAGUAACUAUACACAGUAGAGACGGUACCUAACCAGAAAGCCACGGCUAACUACGUGCCAGCAGCCGCGGUAAUACGUAGGUGGCAAGCGUUGUCCGGAAUUAUUGGGCGUAAAGCGCGCGCGGGUGGUUUAAUAAGUCUGAUGUGAAAGCCCACGGCUCAACCGUGGAGGGUCAUUGGAAACUGUUAAACUUGAGUGCAGGAGAGAAAAGUGGAAUUCCUAGUGUAGCGGUGAAAUGCGUAGAGAUUAGGAGGAACACCAGUGGCGAAGGCGGCUUUUUGGCCUGUAACUGACACUGAGGCGCGAAAGCGUGGGGAGCAAACAGG
rnacentral:rRNA from 1 species